GCAGACCCCUAUUGUUAGUUGCCAUCAUUCAGUUGGGCACUCUAGCGAGACUGCCGGUAAUAAACCGGAGGAAGGUGGGGAUGACGUCAAAUCAUCAUGCCCCUUAUGACCUGGGCUACACACGUGCUACAAUGGUUGGUACAACGAGUUGCGAGUCGGUGACGGCGAGCUAAUCUCUUAAAGCCAAUCUCAGUUCGGAUUGUAGGCUGCAACUCGCCUACAUGAAGUCGGAAUCGCUAGUAAUCGCGGAUCAGCACGCCGCGGUGAAUACGUUCCCGGGCCUU
rnacentral:rRNA from 1 species